UACGGAGGGUGCAAGCGUUAUCCGGAUUCACUGGGUUUAAAGGGUGCGUAGGCGGACAGGUAAGUCAGUGGUGAAAUCUCUGGGCUUAACCCAGAAACUGCCGUUGAUACUAUUGUCUUGAAUAUCCUGGAGGUAGGCGGAAUAUGUCAUGUAGCGGUGAAAUGCUUAGAUAUGACAUAGAACACCGAUAGCGAAGGCAGCUUACUACAGGAUGAUUGACGCUGAGCACGAAAGCGUGGGGAGCAAACAGG
rnacentral:rRNA from 1 species